rnacentral:rRNA from 1 species
CUCCAGACUCCUACGGGAGGCAGCAGUGGGGGAUAUUGCACAAUGGGGGGAACCCUGAUGCAGCGACGCCGCGUGGGUGAAGAAGCGCCUCGGCGCGUAAAGCCCUGUCAGCAGGGAAGAAAAUGACAGUACCUGACUAAGAAGCCCCGGCUAACUACGUGCCAGCAGCCGCGGUAAUACGUAGGGGGCAAGCGUUAUCCGGAUUUACUGGGUGUAAAGGGAGCGUAGACGGCUGUGCAAGCCAGAUGUGAAAGCCCGGGGCUCAACCCCGGGACUGCAUUUGGAACUGUGUGGCUGGAGUGUCGGAGAGGCAGGCGGAAUUCCUAGUGUAGCGGUGAAAUGCGUAGAUAUUAGGAGGAACACCAGUGGCGAAGGCGGCCUGCUGGACGAUGACUGACGUUGAGGCUCGAAAGCGUGGGGAGCAAACAGGAUUAGAUACCCGAGUA